GACGAACCGUGCAAACGUUGUUCGGAAUCACUGGGCUUAAAGGGCGCGUAGGCGGGUUCGAAAGUCUGUGGUGAAAUCCUCCAGCUUAACUGGAGAAGUGCCAUGGAUACUGCGAACCUCGAGGAGGGUAGGGGCAUCUGGAACGGUCGGUGGAGCGGUGAAAUGCGUUGAUAUCGACCGGAACUCCGGUGGCGAAGGCGAGGUGCUGGACCCUUUCUGACGCUGAGGCGCGAAAGCCAGGGGAGCAAACGGG
rnacentral:rRNA from 1 species